AAUAAAACAAGGUUGCACGUUUGUUUGUAGCCGGCACUUUAGUAAAUCAGACUACACUAGCUAGUAACCAACCGGGGUCACAUCAAGCGACUGAAAAUCGGGUCUGUACCCUCCCGUUUCAAGUGGAACAACUGGGGACUGCCAAGAAGGGAGUCUGUUAAUAAAAGUGCAUCAACUCGCUUAGGCCAUGACGUUCACCCAGCCUUUCCUCUGGAGCAACCGCUGCCUUGUGAAGAAGGGCCGAUGGAGGAGAUCGCAGCUUCGGUGGUGAUGACAGAACAUGAUUUCGGUCCUGAUCCUAAACCAGGUGCACUGGAUGCUGCUGCUGCACGCAUACAGCAAUUGGAAGAAACAGUCAAGGAGCUGACAAGAGAGCUGUCACAGCUGAAAGUGGGUCAAGUGCCUUUUCACAGAUUUUGUGUCUCAGACAAGGACAUCCUUUUUUACACCAGAUUCACAUCAAGAGAUGUUUUUUGUGACUUCUGGGAGGCUAUUCAGCCAUCUGCCUCCAUGUUGGUCUAUUGGUCGAAAUCUCAGAAAAAGAAACAAACAUUUGAACCCAUUUCUCCCAGUCCAACGCGUAGACUUCAACUGGUUGAUGAGUUUUUCUCUUCUGCUCCCGGGUUGCUGCAGGCCUGCAAGAAAAAGUGCUGGCUGACAUGUUUCAGGUCAGUGUGUCCACUGUCUCCUGUGUUGUUAUAACGUGGGCCAACUACCUUUACCUGCUCCUUGACUCCCUCCCCAUUUGGAUGAGUAAACAGCAAGUCAAGAACACCAUACCAAGCAAAUUUGUGCAGUACAGUCCAGAUGUUUGGGUAAUCAUCGUCUGCACCGAGGUGCGAUGCCAGAAUCCAUAAUCCCUCACUCUCCAGUCUGAGGUUUUCUCAUUUUACAAGAACACGACAACCUUUAAGGCCUUGAUUGGGAUUGCCCCUUGAAGUGCUGUGACUUUUGUCAAGUCUCUUCACCGGCUCAAUCUCUGACCGAGAGCUGACUGGACGAAGUGGACUGCUGGAUUUACUGGAGCCAGGAGAUGGCUGCAUGGCAGACAAGCGUUACACCAUUGAGAAGCUGCUAGCUCACCGUGGGGCAAUGCUGAUUAUACCACCCUUCAAGAUGACAGUUCACCGAAGAGGAUGCUCUGAAAACACAAGCAAUCGCCCGACUUCGAAUCCUCGUGGAAAGAGCAAUACGCCGAGUCAAGGAAUACCGCAUCUGGGAACGCACUGUCCUCUCACCUUGUCUGGGACAGUCAACCAGCUGGGGACCGUCUGCUGUGUGAUGACCAACUUCCAGGGACCACUUGAUUUAAAAGGCUACAUCCCUGUUGAAUAGUGUUCCUACUCAAACAUAUACCUAUAACUAUUAAAUAUAAGAAAUAAAUAUUAAAACGAGAGACACUGAACAUUUGGAGUGGUCCCUUUAUUUUUUCCGGAGCUGUAAUUCUGUAUACUGAAAACAUUGUAUGUAUUGAAUGACAUGUAUAUAAUUCAAUGAGAAGUCUUUCAUCUAUAAUCAAUUUUAAAGUCCAGU